rnacentral:rRNA from 1 species
GAUGAACGCUGGCGGCGUGCCUAAUACAUGCAAGUCGAGCGAACAGAUAAGGAGCUUGCUCCUUUGACGUUAGCGGCGGACGGGUGAGUAACACGUGGGUAACCUACCUAUAAGACUGGAAUAACUCCGGGAAACCGGGGCUAAUGCCGGAUAACAUUUAGAACCGCAUGGUUCUAAAGUGAAAGAUGGUUUUGCUAUCACUUAUAGAUGGACCCGCGCCGUAUUAGCUAGUUGGUAAGGUAACGGCUUACCAAGGCAACGAUACGUAGCCGACCUGAGAGGGUGAUCGGCCACACUGGAACUGAGACACGGUCCAGACUCCUACGGGAGGCAGCAGUAGGGAAUCUUCCGCAGUGGGCGAAAGCCUGACGGAGCAACGCCGCGUGAGUGAUGAAGGUCUUCGGAUCGUAAAACUCUGUUAUUAGGGAAGAACAAAUGUGUAAGUAACUGUGCACGUCUUGACGGUACCUAAGCAGAAAGCCACGGCUAACUACGU